rnacentral:SRP_RNA from 1 species
GCCGAGUGAAGUGUAGUCCCAGCUAUUCAGGAGGCCGAGGUGGGAGGAUCACUUGAGCCCAGGAGUUUUGUACUGGAGCACACUGUGCUGAUCGGCUCCUGCACUAAGUUCAACAUCAGUGUGGUGACCUCCCAGGAGUGGGAGACCCCCAGGUUGCCUAAGGAGGAGUGAACUGGCCCCAGUUGGAAAUACAGCAGAUCCAAACUCCUGUGCUGAUCAGUAGUGGGAUAGCACCUGUUAAUAGCCAUACUCCAGCCUGGGCAGCAUAGUGAGACAUCUGUCCAUCUCU